UAGAGUUUGAUCAUGGCUCAGAACGAACGCUGGCGGCGUGCCUAACACAUGCAAGUCGAACGGGAAAGCCCGCAAGGGUGAGUACAGUGGCGCACGGGUGCGUAACACGUGGGUAAUCUGCCCUGGAGCCCGGAAUAACUCCCCGAAAGGGGUGCUAAUGCCGGAUAAGACCACGGGAGCUUCGGCUCCUGAGGGAAAAGGUGGCCUCUGUAUACAAGCUAUCACUCCUGGAUGAGCCCGCGGCCCAUCAGCUAGUUGGCGGGGUAACGGCCCACCAAGGCUACGACGGGUAGCUGGUCUGAGAGGACGAUCAGCCACACUGGAACUGAGACACGGUCCAGACUCCUACGGGAGGCAGCAGUGGGGAAUCUUGCGCAAUGGGCGAAAGCCUGACGCAGCAACGCCGCGUGUGUGAUGAAGGUCUUCGGAUCGUAAAGCACUGUCGGGAGGGACGAAUAAGGGCCGGGUGAACAAUCCGGUCCGACGACGGUACCUCCAAAGGAAGCACCGGCUAACUCUGUGCCAGCAGCCGCGGUAAUACAGAGGGUGCUAGCGUUGUUCGGAAUUAUUGGGCGUAAAGCGCGUGUAGGCGGCUGGCCAAGUCGGAUGUGAAAGCCCUCGGCUUAACCGAGGAAGUGCGUUCGAAACUAGCUAGCUUGAGUACCGGAGAGGGUGGUGGAAUUCCCGGUGUAGAGGUGAAAUGCGUAGAUAUUGGGAGGAACACCGGUGGCGAAGGCGGCCCCCUGGACCGGU
rnacentral:rRNA from 1 species